rnacentral:rRNA from 1 species
AUGACAGGUAAUACUAGUAGGUAUAACAUGAUCACAGAGUACAAAACAACAUGGCACCAAAGUGAACAUGCAAAUCUAAACAUCACCGGAAUAACGAUAACCAUCUUUUCAACAAGCAAACAUUUAAUAAAUAUUCAAGUUGAAAACCAUGGCUACUGCAUGACUAUCAUGCAAGUGGGUAUUGUGGCUUGCUUGGGGAUGAAGAAGGCACCGGGGAGAAGUACGGCGAAGCCGCAGAAAGAUUCGGCGGAAACAGUUCUCUCUCGGAGGGGCUGUUUACGUGCAAGGGCAAAAAGGUCAUUUUCACAGUGUCAAACCAUAGGGAAAACAUGA